ACAGAGACUGAACACGCGUGGAGCAGUCGCCCCCACUGCAGCCCCUCAAGGUUCUGGUGCACAGGAUGCCAGCGAUGCCCGGCCGCCUGCCCUUCCUGGAGUCUGCCGCUUGGGCUCUUGCUUUGGUUCUGUGGGUUCUCCACCUCUUUUUCCAGGAAGCUGGUCUUGAGAAAAACACCUGCUUUAGGGACAGGAGCUACUCACCGUAAAAGUCACUUGGAGGCCUGACUGCAUGGGGUGCAGCGUCCUUGUGAAGAGUCCUCAGAUGGCUCUAGAGCUGGCAGUGCUGCUUUUCAGUAUUCAGGUGCCUAUGGACCAGAAGGCGAAACCAACUGGGCCUGGCUCCUGGAAAGCGAGAGAACCAGGGGACCACAACAACAAGUUUGAAACCACAGGAGAAACAUGAUUUCUACAUGUUCAGCAUAUUUAAGGGCUCAAAAGAAAUUAUUGUUACAGAAAGUAAAAUAAGAAAAAAAGACUGCCCCCCCUACAGUAUGAAGAAAAUGUUACAAUGAAGAUAAUUUGAACAAACACCAUAGACGCAUUGCUACCUCUCCCAUUAUCUGUCUCCAACUUUUGUGCGUUACUUUCCCCGGAAAAAUUUGAAACAUUAAAGAAAAAUAUUUAGAUAAAAUAUGCGUUUGCAGAUAACUGAAUUAACUUGGAGUCUGAAGAACAAGCUGAUUUCUUAUUUACAUUGAAGAAUGAUUACAAGACAUUAAGUAAGAUGGAAAACUUUCAAUUGUCAAGUAAAAAUAAUGUAUGGUUACAAUCACUGUCCUCAGUGACCUGUUAGUGUGAACUGCAAUUUUCAACCCUGACCUGAUAAAAAUCAAAAGAAAGGCUUGACCGUGUGUCAGCUGUGCAUGUUGCAUUGUCCCGUGUGUUUGUGUGCUGUACCAAACGUAUCAAUAAGCAAGCACAUCCAUUGCAAUAUAUAUAAAAUCCUUUCUAAUAUUUUUUUAAAUUUUUUUUAUUUUUUAUUUAAAAAAAAUUUUUUUUUUUCCUUUUUCCCCAAAGCCCCCCGGUACAUAGUUGUAUAUUCUUCGUUGUGGGUCCUUCUAGUUGUGGCAUGUGGGACGCUGCCUCAGCGUGGUUUGGUGAGCAGUGCCAUGUCCGCACCCAGGAUCUGAACCAAUGAAACACUGGGCCGCCUGCGGCGGAGCGCACGAACUUAACCACUUGGCCACAGGGCCAGCCCCCUUUUCUAAUGUUUUUUGGGGGGGGGUUACCUGUUGCAUUGAAAUAUUAGUAAAUAACGUUUUAUGUAAAUACAGUUAUAUUUUUACUUUACAAUAUGUUAUGAGCUGAAUUGUGUCCCCUGCAAAUUCUGUAUUGAUGUCCCAGCUCCUAGUACCUCAGAAUGUGACUGUAUUUGGAAAUAGGGCCUUUGAAGAGGUGAUUAAAUUAAAACAAGGGCAUUAGGGUGGUUCUUAAUUCAAUCUGAUUGACGUCCUGAUAACAAGAGGAGAAUAGGACAGAGAGGCACCUGGGGCACCUGCAUACAGAGAAAAGGCCCUGUGAGGACACAGCGAGAAGGCCGCCAUCUGCAAGCCCAGGAGAGAGCCCGCAGGAGAAACCAACUCUGCGGGCGCUUUGAUCUUGGACUUCUAUCCAGAACCGUGAGAAAUAAACUUCUGCUGUUUAAGCCAUGUAGUCUGUGAUAUUUUGUUAUGGCAGCCUGGCAAACUAUAUAGCAUACAUACACUAUAUGUCGUAGGGUAUUGUUCUAUGAAAUUUUAGUUUCAGUUGUGUAUAUGUGUACUGAGUCUCAAUGCAAGAUGCAUUUCUAAUAUGAGUUGUAG
ensembl:lncRNA